UUCUUACUUUUGAUAAUUCUUUUCAGUAUGAUUUUACCUGUUGCUAUGCAAGGCAUCUAUUCUUGAGUCAUACUCUUGACCUUUUCAAUCUUAAAGAGUUUUCCUCUUUUUUCCUCCUGGUUUAAAUUUAGAUAAGCUGUGUUCUUUGGAGUCCUGUUUUCUAAUUUGAAUUUUAAUCUACACAUGCCAACUGUUUCUCUUUGGUAGAUUCUAAUCAUGAAAUUUCCAAGUUAUUGCAGAGAGCAGGCUUCUAGUACAUCUAGCAAAGCAGUGUCUGGUGACAUGUCCAGUGAUGAAAAAAAAUCAGAGACAGAUUUCUACUAGAGCUUUAAUGCCCCCUCCUCGCCCCUCAAACAAGAAGCUGUCAAGUGUCAUCGUCUUCAUUAAUGGUGCGAAUGGAGCAAGUCAGAAGAGAACGAGCCACCAAUGAUGGCAGCAUGCGUUCAAGUCUGCUACCCAUCUCACUGUGUUGCUUUGGAAGCUUAGAUGCAAUCUCAUAAGCUGACAUGCCUAACGAACUCUCUGCCUUUGAUAUGAUCUCAAACAAGUUCAUAUCAAUAGCAGCGUUCAAGAUUGCAGGAAACACCUAAGCAAAUGCGAACGAAGCAGCUUUGGUGAAAGCAUCAUCGUACUCCUCCUUGGUGGUUGAACUCAUCAUAUUCAUAUAUGCUACCUACUUUAAUUAUUAGUCUUUAAUUAACCAACUCUAAUUUAGUGUAUGUAGUAGUCAGUAGUCCCUCAUCAUAUAUAUAUAUAUAUAUAUAUAUAUAUAUCAUGCUAAGAGAUUUCUUAUUCCAUAAGAUUUGACUACAUGCUCUUUUAAUUAAAUAUUUAUUUGUGAUGAAUUAUAGUUGAUGUAUCAACACACU